rnacentral:lncRNA from 1 species
AUAGACAUGCAUAUGGAAUGUGGUUCGAUUUCUAUUCUAUACGGCUCAAAAUAGAGCCAUGGGAUCACCGGACUGAACCAGCAAGGUCGCGGCUAAGUCGGGUUACCCAUGACUCCGGCUUCGUCAAAGAACCGACCCGUGUCGCGCGGUUGCAGACCGGGGUGGGUACCUUCGACGUGAAGAAAGAAAUUUCGGGAUAGAGAUGGGCGACUCGUACUACGCGGUUGUAGUCGGAGUGGUAUCCACCUCAACACCAUCCUAAGUGAUCCUAUGCAGCCCAGGUCCGGCUGCAGGUUGUGUGUGCUAGGGUGUAGUGCAAUGCAAAAGAUACAUGCACAACAAUUUAUAGGCAAACAACACUCCGUACAUAAAAAAUAAACCAUACAUUCCAACACCUCCCUACAAGACAAAGGUGAGCAAACACUUCCCCUUAUACCUCCCAUUCUGCAAAAAUAUUUAACACCUUUAAUGUUAGGGACGUACUUGGAAUCAUCGCUGCCAAACAAAAACAUUUUUUUAAACAAGAUUAAUUCUGGCCUAAGUCCUCUAAGGUUCAAAACCAAGUCCCCAGCGGAGUCGCCAAGCUGUCACGACCUACCCCCGGAGGGAGAGAACAGGUUUAGGGGUAUUGCCUAAAGGACGGGGCUAAGGCCCGUGAUCAGGCGUGGGCUCUCCCAAGCCCAUACCCCGCGUGACAUUGGGAUAUUCUUUAGAAUUUUUGCACAAAAGGAGUCGCCACUAGCCUAUUGGGGUCGGCUAGAAACCAAGUGAGGUAUGGGAGUGUACAUCACUUCCUACGCAACCAGAGAAUCUAGAUUCGGGGACUUGAUUACACUAAUUAACUAAUUAGUGCCCUUUCGGUACCUAAUCUUGUUCAUUUUAACAAAAUGAUUUUUGACAGACAGUUUGAAUUGAUUUUAUACUUAUCCACUAACAUAUGAGGUGAUCAUGCAGGUGCGCAAUCAUUAAAGUAAUAAUCAUAACUAUCAAGAUCCUAAUUGCCAUAAAAUUAAACAUAUGCAAUCAAACAUAAUUAGAUAUGCAAAUAAAACAUGUAACGUAAUCAACAUACAAGCACAUAAAGGUCUAAUUACACUAAAAUGGCAAUACAUGGCAAGUCCUAGUCAAACCCCAUCAUUUUGGAUUUUCGAAAUUUUUAAUUAAUUUUUUUUAAUUUUUUUUUAAAUUUUUUAAAGAAAAAUAACUAAUUUCUGAUUUUUAAAUAUUUUUUGGAUUUUCGAAAUUUUUUUAAUUAAUUUUUUUCAAAAUUUUUUUAAAUAUUUUUUUAAAUAUUUUUUAGUAAAUUUUUUGAUUUUUUUUUAAAAAAAAAUUAUUUUUUGAAUUUUUAAAUUUUUUAAAUUAAUUUUUGAUUAAAAAAAAGAAGUGAACCGGGUCAGGUUCGGCUCGACCCGACCCGACCUGGUCAACGCAGAUCGGGUCCGGUCUCCGACCGGACCCGGGUUCGGCCCAGGUGGGCCCGAAGCAUAGGCCUAGCCCAAGAAUUCCUCUCUCUUCUCUUUUAAAACAAAGCAGGCCCACAAGUCUAUACCAAACUAGCCCACAAGCCCAAACUAAACUAGCCCACGAGCCCAAACUAAACUAGCCCAAACCCAAAAGGCAGAUGGCCCACUACGACAGGCCCACGUGGAUAGAAACCCUACCCGGUUCGCGACCCGUACCCGACCCGGUUUUGGGCUGAAACCUAGGGUUUGCUGGCGGCGCUGACAACGGCGGCGGCGGGCUUGACGGCAGCGGCGGUGCGGCGGAGCAGAUGCGGAGACGCGGCGGCGCGGCGAAGCAGAGGCGGAGACGCGGCGGAGCAGAGGCGAAGACGCGGCGGCCGGCCUGGGAUCUGCUGGCGUCGGGGGCAGCGGCGUCGAGCUACAAGCAGAGCACGGCGGGUUGUCGCAGGCGGAGGAGCGGCAUCGGACGAGUAGAUCACGAGCAGAGCAAGGGCAGCAGCAACUUUGCAGGGAUCUCGCGGUUUGCAAGUGAGGCGGAGCGCGACGGCGGAUGGCCUGGUGGUGCAGCGGAGUUCGAUCAACUCCCAGAUCUAGUUCGUCUCCGGUUGGUUCGGCGUCGGGAACGCUGUGGGUGGUGAACGACGGCAGCAGCAGCAGGGAGGCGUUGUUCGAUGAGGGUCAGUAAGCAGCUCGUCGGGACGGAGGGCGGCGACGGCUCGAGCGGCGUUGAGCGCAGCAGGUGGCGGCGGCUACGCGGCGGACAGCAACGACGACAUCGGGGUCUGCGAGGAUGGGCGGCGGCUGCGUCGGAGGCGAGCGGAAGCAUCAGGUCGUCGCGGGCGGAGUCAGGCAGCGCUCGGGCGCGGUGGCUCUGAGUUUGUCCUCCCUCUCCCUUUGGUCUCGGUUAGCUCGGCGUCGGGAGCAACGGAGAAGGGUGCUGCGGCUACUGGCGUCGGCAGAAGCGGCGUCGAGCUCGGAGGGCGGCGGCGAGGACGGCGUCGGUUUGAGGUGGCGAGGACUGCGACGGCGGCGUCGGUUUGAGGCGGCGAGGACUGCGACGGCGGCGUCGGUUUGAGGCGUCGAGGAUUGCGAUGGCGGCGUCGUAGCUUCGGGCUGCAGGAAGCAGCGUUCGGAGGGCAGCAGCGUAGACGGCGUCGAGCAACGCCAGCGCCGCCGCUGCCCUCCUCCCCCUCCUUUCCCUCUUUCUCUUCUCUGGUUUUCUUCGUUUCUCCUCCCCGCCCCCUCUCUCUCCUUGCUGCCUCCUCCGAACCCCCUCUCCUCUGCUAGGGUUUCACGCACGAAGAGGAAGAGAGAAAGCGGCAUGGGCCGGGCCAAGGCGAGAUUCGGCCCGGCCCCUUCCAUGUCUCUUUUUUUCUAUUUUUUUGUUGUUUUUGUUUUCUUUUUUAUCUUUUGUUUGCUUUGUUGUUCUUUUUUUUUUGUUCUUUUUUUUUAUCAUUUUUCUUAAACGACUAAUUCCUAAUUCUGUAGACAAUUAAAUCCUAAAUGAAAAAAUGGGAAAAAUUAGGUGUCAACACAAUGUCUAAUGAAAUCAUCCUUACAAACCGAAGCAUAGUCCUUCACUUGAGGAAGCAGAAGAAAAAACAAGGGCUUGAAAAUAGCCAUGAUUCUUUAUAUAAGGUACACUAAGGGCCUAUUUUCACGGUGUUAAUUGCUGGGAGCACAUCAGCAUGGUGAACAAAAACCUCACGGGAGAAUUUCACUUUCUUCUUUUAGAAAAUUUUGGGCAUUAUUUUUCUGUUUUUAUGUGCCACCAUGUAUCAUUAAAAGGUUUGUAUUGAGAGAAUCCAUCGGCCUUCUCUAUCUUCAACAUGUAUUGUACUUCUUGCUUAUCCAAAACUAAAUAUCCUUGAAUUUUAUAAUUUUGCCCUUGAUAUUUUGAAUCCAAUUGACUUAUUUAGUCCAUUUAUUUAAUUAACUGGAAUUUCAUGAUAAAUUAUAUGAGUGACCUAUGGCCCAAGUCUUAUAAUAAGAUAAGCCUCAUCAUGUUCUUUACAAGUAGGGACCUAUUUCAAUUAUCGCCACCUUGGAUUACACUUGAAUAAUCAUUGUAUGAUUUAACCCAAAUGAAUUAGAUUGAUUGUUACAACUGGUAUCAGAGCUCAUAGUGGCAAAGUUCCUAAUAGCCCGAGCUAUGGCAGCCCAUCCCAAAUGGCCACCAUCUUAAUUGAUUUCAAGUACUCCUAUAAAAAGUUUAGUUUGAUAUAUUAGGUUGGCUUGAUGUAGUGAGAGACUAUGGAGGGGAUACAUUUUGUCAUGAUAUAAAUUGCCAUCUUCUCAUGCAAACGUGACUCGAGCAUUAAGAAAAAAUCAACAGUAGAAAUAUGAAGUAAAAUGGAGAGAGGAGAAACAAAAAGAGGAGAUGACACUUUGGACUUCGCAGGGAAAAGGAAGGAGAGAGAAAAAUAUAGGGCCAUGAUGGGGGCGUUUUUGUAAUUUGCUCAAAGGUCAUCGUUCGGAAUAUCGGAUUGCUACAACUAUGCAUUUCGAAUCAGUCACCCUAAUUCUUGCACACGUUUCUUUGAACACUCGUUGUUUAGUUUAAAUUAGUUCUCUACUGUAUCCAUAGUUAAUUUUUUUUAUCCUAGCACUAUAUUUCCUAAUCCGUAAUUGCAACAGUCCCCCUCUCCCCCCUCCCCCCCAAAAAAAAUUCUCCACACAAAAAAAAAAAAAGUUGCAACACAAAACCAAUUUAUUUGAGGCAACUUCUUCUCCAGAACGUUAAUCUCACCAAGAAUCAACAAUUUGAAAAAUACAAAUACUUGUUGAAGAUGAAAUAUUUUUCUUUGACUAAUUUUUCAAAAAGAUAAAUAAUUAUUUUUAGAUAUAUAUUUAUUAAAUAUUUUUUUUCCACAAAACAAAUGCAUAAAAAAAUUGUGUAUCCACUGCCGCUCAAUAAAGUUGGGUUGUGUAAAUUAUACAAAUUGGGGAAUAAAACCAUGAACGAAUGUAGCAAAAAUAUCAAAUCAGAUGAAACAAGAACAGAACUGGAAGCUAAAAAAAAAAGAAGCUGAACAGAUAAAACAGCUUCUGAUGUUCGGCACGAAAAUCUCAACCUCCAAAGUCAAGAAGAGCGACUUAAAAAAUAUACAACCCCAAUUGCAUAAGCAACUCAAUCUGGAAUCGGUCAGUUUUCUAUAUUUGCAGAGAUCGCCCAAUCGACUUGAUUGUUGAUCGUAAAACAAUUGUGAAAGUGGCGAAACGAACAGUUCAAACCCGAGUUCGUCCUCUCACAUCUGUUAGAGGACAUUGUAACUUGAUGGUUUAUAUGUAAUGGGCUCAAAGCCCGUCCGCCCAAGUUGGGCCCAAAAAGCCCAGCCCACGGGAAUAGGGCCCGUGGAUGGGGGAAGGUAUAAAAGGGAGGAGAGAGAGAGAUGACACCGGUUGGAAAAAGAAAAUAAACGUACGUCUUUUUCUUCUCACGCUCUCUCUCUCUCGCUUUCUCUCCCAAAAGGAAAUAGUGAAGCGCAAUUAUUGAACAGGGCCAAGUUUCUCUUCCUCUUACCAGUGUCGGUGUCUAAUCUGUGGCUUAAAAGGUACGCUCGAAUCCAUGGUGUGCUUUAGGUCGGUGAUACGUGUUGUUUUCCCGGGCUCGUCUUCCGCAUUGAUUUAGGGGUUCGAUUUAGUGUCGAAUCUGGUUUUCGGGGAUCCGUUAUUCCCAACAUUGGUAUCAGAGCCCUAGUUCACGUUUUCCCGACUUGUUUGACGUUUUUUGAUUGAUUUUUCGCAAAAGCAAUUCGGCCGUACGGAUCGGGGUGAGAAAUCCCGACACCCGAGCGCUGUUCGGCCAUUUUUCCGAGUUUUCGUAAGUCGAAAUCGAAUUCUAAUGGCAUAGGAAGAAAGGCGACGUCGAGACGAGUCUGGCGAUACGUCGAGCGGCGCCGGGAGACGCCGCACGCGCCCACACGUGCGGCUGGAAGCCGCUCCGCGUGGGCGCGACGCGCCCGGAAGCGCUGGCUCGCCCAGCGCGUGCGACACACGCGCCGGUCGACGAACCGGCACGUGCUCGCUGCCGGCCGGCGAACCGGCACGCGCCGAUCCGCGGACCGACGCGUGCUGACGUCACCCAACGGUCAGUAACCGCUAGGGUGACGUCAUCGAUGACGUCAGCACGACGACGGUUCGCAGGGCGGUCACCGGCCGGCGACCCGACCGGCGACCCAACCCGACCUGAACCGCGGACGUCGGCACGCGAGCGGCAUGUGCCAGCUGACGUCUACGUGACGUCAGCCCGCGCACGCGUGCGGCAUGUGCCGUCGAUUUGCCCGAACCGGCCCGACCGGUCCGACCGGCCCAACCGGUCUGACCGGCCCGACCGGUCUGGCCCAACCGGUCCGACGGCCGACGACCUGACCAUUGACCGUUGACCGUUGACCGUUGACCCAAAAAAAAACAAAAAGGAAAAGAAUGUGUUUCUUUUUCAAUUAAGUCUAUGUGGAUUAUUUGUGAUCCCUUAUUUGUUCUGCAUUUGUUGCAGGAACAGUUCUGCAUUUGUUGCACGAACAAUGUCUCCCUUGAGGUUGCGCACACCUAUUCGCGCAGUUACUGAUGAACAAAAGGACAGGCUGUCUAAGUUGAUAGCUGAGCUGACUGAUCAUCGAUAGGAGAGUGGAGAGUUAAUUGAUCAUGUCCUUGAGGUCAAUGGGAAGAUUCAACAGGUCAAAUGGAAUGGUCGUUCUAUGCCACAGUCAGAGAUGGUGCGAUUUUUCAUAAACACUCUUCCACUUAAAUGGCAAGAUGUGUUGAAUCGCAUAUGGGAUGUCAAUGGAGCUGCUUCAUAUAAGAAAGUUGUGAUGGAUUUUGUAAAUGAAUAUUACUGCAUUGUUACAAGGGAAAAGAUCAAGAAAUUGAACAAAAGAGGAUCUUUCCCAGUUCGUGUGCUGGCUUAGUGUUAGAUGUAUUGGCUGUUUUCUUAGUUAAGUGUGCUUUUGUGGACAUCUUAUGUAAUGCUUACUACCUAAUUGUUGUUAAUGUAGCAACCUAUAUGUUAGUUGUAUUAUAUGAAAGCAUUAUUAUAUUGUAUGUCAAUGUAUCUAUUACUUUAUGUUAUUGCCGGUUGCUGUGGGUAGUUAGCUGUGGGUAGUUAUAGAAGUUUUUGUAACUUCAUAGAAUUUAUUUUGCAUAAGACAAUUAUAUUGAUGAUAGUUUUAAGUUAGGAUUUUGGAGGAUGAUUGGAAACAUAGUGACCUUUUGAUUCUGAAGCCUUACUUGAAAUUAUUCAUUAAUAUGAUGGGUCUAUGCAAAUAGGGAUGCAUAAAUGAUAGGCAUUAAUAAUUCGUGCAUAUAAUUCGUGCAAAUGGGUCUAUGAUGGGUCUGAUGUGUUCAGAUCAAUGGCUUCAGCCACGAAGAGCAUAGUUGCCGAGCUGAACAAAUGUGAAAAGCUCAAUGGUGACAACUAUGAGAUAUGGCACAUGAAAAUCUAAUAUGUGCUGGAAGAGCAAGAGGCACUUGAGGCUCUUAACCUGACCAUGGUAGAACUUGAAGAAGGAAAUACUGCACAGCACAAAAGAGAUAAUGAAGCUUUUGUUGCAUGGAAACGAAAGAACUCUCUUGCUCGCAUCACAUUGCUGAGCAGCAUGGAAAAUGACGUCAUGCGAGAGUUUAGGCGUUUUGACAAUGCCAAGGAAAUGUGGGAGGCAUUGGCAGCUAGAUUUGGUCAUACUUCGGUGACCAGACUGAGACAGCUCACUAUUAGGUUUGACUCCUAUAAGAAGCCUCAUGGUCAGAUCAUGAAGCAACAUCUUAGAAAGAUGUCAAAUAUGAUAAAUGAGCUGAAAGAUGCUGGCCAUGUCCUCACAGAUGAGCAGCAGGUGCAAGCAGUGAUUCGUUCAUUGCCUCAGAGUUGGGAGCAUAUGAAGGUGCACCUGACUCAUAAUGAAAAUAUCAAAACUUUCGAGGAUGCAAUGCGUCAUCUUGAGCUGGAAGAGGACCGCCUCUUGGCGGCUAAGCCGGAUGCUAAACUCUAUCAUGCUAGUUCUAGCUCAAAUGGAGCUUCGAGCUCCAAGCGCAAGCGCCCUAACUGGUUUGAUAAAGGGAAAGGCAAGGAAGAAGGUCCUUCAGGGAAGAAACCCAAGUUUAACCAACAUGAAAGAGGAAAGCGUCCUCGCAUGAAGAAGCUUGCAAGGGUGAAAUGCUACAACUAUGACAAGAAGGGUCACUAUGCUCGCGACUGUCGUGAGCCAAAAAAGGUAUGCACCCCUUGUACUUUUCAGAACUUUGCUUAUGUGUCGAGUUAUGUGUUCUUAACUGAGUCAAAUCCUUUGUGGACUGUGGAUUCAGGAGCGACGGACCAUGUAGCGAAGGAUAGAGGAUCCUUCGUGGAAUUCCGACGAGUACCAACNNNNNNNNNNNNNNNNNNNNNNNNNNNNNNNNNNNNNNNNNNNNNNNNNNNNNNNNNNNNNNNNNNNNNNNNNNNNNNNNNNNNNNNNNNNNNNNNNNNNAAUUGGCACAUGCCAACUGAAGAUGCGUGGUGAACGCACUUUGUUCCUACAUGAUGUGUUAUAUGCUCCGGAGAUUCGUCGGAAUUUAGUGUCUGUAUUAGUGUUGGUUAAAUUAGGUUUUAAUAUGAACUUCUAUAAUAGAGGCGUUGAUUUAUUUUUUAAUACAAAUUACUAUGGUCGUGGUUAUUUUCUGGAUGGUUUCAUUGUAUUAGAUAUUGAUUAUGUUAAUAUAAAUGUUUGUUAUUCCCUUCUCACGUCUCCUAAUACAUAUAAUAAUGAUGUGAAUGUGUGGCAUGCUAGACUUGGUCACAUUGGCCAACAGCGUAUGAAUAGACUAGCCAAAGAGGGCUUGUUAGGCAACAUUGAAAAAGUCGAUUUGCCCAUAAGUAAGCAUUGCCUAGAAGGGAAAACGACAAGGAAACCAUUUGUUAAAGGUAAAAGAGCUGAAUUUCCUCUGCAUUUAAUCCAUUCUGAUGUCUGUGGUCCAAUGAAUGUGAAAGGAAUGCAUGGGGCUGUUUAUUUCAUCACCUUUAUAGAUGAUUAUACUCGAUUCGAAUAUAUCUAUUUGAUUUCUCAUAAAUCUGAAGCAAUAAGUUGUUUCAAAAGGUUUAUGAACCUAGUAGAGAAUCAAUUAGACAAGAAAAUAAAGGCGUUUGAGAUCCGAUCGAGGUCGAGAAUAUUUUAUCUGAUGAGUUCAGAAAAUUGUGUGAUGAAAAAGGAAUAGACAGACAGUUGUCUAUUCCAUAUACUCCUCAACAAAAUGGUGUUGUAGAGAGAAAAAACAGAACCCUACUGGAAAUGGUUAGGUCCNNNNNNNNNNNNNNNNNNNNNNNNNNNNNNNNNNNNNNNNNNNNNNNNNNNNNNNNNNNNNNNNNNNNNNNNNNNNNNNNNNNNNNNNNNNNNNNNNNNNNNNNNNNNNNNNNNNNNNNNNNNNNNNNNNNNNNNNNNNNNNNNNNNNNNNNNNNNNNNNNNNNNNNNNNNNNNNNNNNNNNNNNNNNNNNNNNNNNNNNNNNNNNNNNNNNNNNNNNNNNNNNNNNNNNNNNNNNGUACUUAGAACACUUGAAAGGAUAUGUGUUCAUAGGUGAGCAGGAAAGUGGGAGUAUAACUGAGUUGAAUCACGAGAUAUCACAUUCUUAGAGGAUGAAUUUCCUAAGAAGGGCGAAAUAGGGGAAGAUUGUUCCCUAUUUGAGACCUUGGAUCAGGAUAAUGAUGUUAGUGGAGUUCGUCCAAGUGGGAGUAAUAUGAGAAGUGAUGAAUUGAAUUCAACUCAUUCUCAAUUGCAACCGCAUGAUGAGACGACAUCAUCAUUACCUAAUCCAAGUGGGAGCAUGAUGGGGAAUGAUGUGCAAAGUGUACAAUCUCCCAUAUGGCGAACAAGUCGCCAAAGUAUUCCCCAUCGACGUUUUGACAUAGAAGGGGAAAAUUUUAUGGUUGCUCCACAAGAUGAGGAUGAGCCAAGAAAUAUUAAUGAGGCUCUGAAUUGCCCUAAGGAAAAAUGGAUUAAUGCAAUGGAAGAGGAAAUGGAGUCAAUGAAAUGAAACCAAGUCUAGGAACUGGUUGAUCUUCCAAAAGGACACAAAGCUAUUGGGAACAAGUGGGUUCUCAAAAUAAAGUGAAAGGCUGAUGGCUCGAUUGAAAGGCAUAAGGCUCGCCUUGUGGCGAAGGGGUAUAAUCAACAGGAAGGAAUUGAUUAUGAAGAUACAUUUUCUCCUGUAGUGAGAUUUACCUCGAUUCGCAUUAUUCUGGCAAUAGUGGCUAGUCUGGAUCUUGAGUUACAUCAAAUGGAUGUAAAGACUGCUUUCCUCAAUGGAGAAUUAGAGGAAGAAAUAUAUAUGGAACAACCUGCUUGUUUCAUAGUGAAAGGCCAAGAAGAAAAAGUAUGUCGACUUUUGAGGUCGAUAUAUGCUCUUAAGCAGUCAUCAAGACAAUGGUAUAUACGUUUUCAUAAUGCCAUAAUGGCAUAUGAUUUUACGAUGAUUGAUGAGGAUUAUUGUGUAUAUAUCAAAAGAUCCAAUGAUCAAUUUGUGAUCAUAUCAUUAUAUGUUGAUGAUAUACUAAUUGCCGGAAGCAAUAUGGAGUUUGUUAAGACUGUCAAGAGUUGGUUGUCUUCCAACUUUGAGAUGAAGGACAUGGGUGAGGCUGCAUACAUUCUUGGAGUUAAGAUUUCAAGAGAUCGUUUGAAGAGAUCAUUGUCUCUUUCACAAGAAACCUAUAUAAAUAAGGUUCUUGAACGAUUUCGUAUGCAAGAUUGUAAACCCAUAGACACUCCUAUUGCAAAAGUGAAGGAUUGAGCCAUAGACUGUGUCCAAAGACUCCACAAGAGAAUGAACAAAUGAAACAUGUUCCUUAUGCUAGUGCUGUUGGGGAGCUUGAUGUACGUUAUGAUGUGUACAGACCCGACAUAUGUUUUGCAGUUGGANNNNNNNNNNNNNNNNNNNNNNNNNNNNNNNNNNNNNNNNNNNNNNNNNNNNNNNNNNNNNNNNNNNNNNNNNNNNNNNNNNNNNNNNNNNNNNNNNNNNNNNNNNNNAAUGAUCUGCGACUUGGGGCUAUUUAGAUGCUGAUUGGGGAGGAGAUUUAGAUGAAAGAAAAUCUACCUCAGGAUUUGUUUUCUUACUGAGCAAUGGCGCCAUAUCAUGGAGUAGUAAGAAGCAAACGUGCAUAGCCUUAUCCACGAUGGAAGCUGAGUUCGUGGCAUUAUCAGCAGCAGUACAAGAAGCAGUUUGGCUUAAGAGAUUCUUGGAUCAUUUAGGUGUUAUUGAGAAAGCUGCAAAUCAAUUAUUAAUUAACUGUGAUAGCCAAGUAGCUAUAGCAUACACCAAAGAUCCAAAGUAUCAUGGCAAGACCAAACAUAUAGAUACAAAGUAUAACUUUGUAAAAGAUAUGGUUGCACGAAAGGAUGUGAACUUACAGUACAUAUCUACGCAUAGAAUGGUAGCAGAUCCUAUGACAAAGCCAAUACCUAGAGAUGUGUUUUGUGGUCAUGUAAAAUCUCUAGGAUUGUGUAGAGUCUGAUGUACUGGAUUGUAAUUUCCCUGAGUUGUUCACAUUUAUGAACUAGUGUUGUUUCAUUAUUAAUGCCUAUGAAUCUUUGUUUGAUCUUUAUGCAUCUUAAUACUCAGUGUAUUAUUUUAAGUUGAGGAAGUAUGUCGGACAGAUAAAAAAUUAGCCCACUCACACGGGUAAUCGCCUCUAUUUACUGUGUGAUAAAUAGAGAUGAGACUGUUUUUAAGAUUAUUAUCUAGGUGAUAAUCGAUAGCUCAAGCUUAAAAUACGUAUGUUGCCUUAACUAAGUGUUAAGAUGAUGACAUAAUACUUACUAUGUCCGAAAGUAAAAUACCCCACAUAUUUUACUUUAUCUGUCUAAGAUGCCAGAUGUGAGUUCUGAUGAAUUUUGUAAAAGAGUAGAUACGUGAACUCAAGUUAGACAUUGGGUAUGUCUGAACUAUCAUCUGUAUGGUAUUGAAAGGUGUAGACAUACGCUCCAUGGGAAAUAAGUUAAUAUCGUAAUACGUAUUUCAUACUACGUAUGCAUAAGCCGACCAAUAAGAGUGGCAAAAAGUUUGAUCUCAACUUUUAUGAUGUGUGAGACUCUUGAGGAAAAGAGUUCCUCAAUUUUAGUGCCCUCAUGACUUUUACUUAUUCUCAAGGUUUCUAUUUAGUCUUAGGAUGUUGCCAAUGGUCGCCAAUGGUCAUGAGUUGAUUCGAUCUAAUGAAACAUUUCUAGAAAAGCAAGCUGAACUGAAAUUGAGAGUUUGGAGGAAAGAGGAAGAUCGAUUUUGGGGAAUCACAUUGUAGUUCUGUAUUCACUGGUUGACUAAUUAUGACUGUCUUUGUGAUAAUUAUAAUUGUAAAUACAAUAUAUAUAUCAUGUUUAAAAGAGAUCAAGAGAGAUAUAAAAUGUGAUCGAUCGAUCUAGGGUACUGCAUACUAAAUCUACUCAGAGUGUGACGCCCAUUAUGAGCUGCUAUAUAUUCCUAACAGAUGUAUAGCAACGAGCUCUCAAAGUAUGCUGGUCGCACGAAUUAUUCACCGGUAUGAAUGUUGAAGAGAGGUAAAGAGAAUCCUGUUCAGCCCACCAUGUGCGAGUGGGAGAUGAUGGUUUAUAUGUAAUGGGCUCAAGGCCCGUCUGCCCAAGUUGGGCCCAAAAAGCCCUGCCCACGGGAAUAGGGCCCGUGGAUGGGGGAAGGUAUAAAAGGGAGGAGAGAGAGAGAUGACACUGGUUGGAAAAGAAAAUAAACGUACGUCUUUUUCUUCUCAUGCUCUCUCUCUCUCUCUCUCGCUUUCUCUCCCAAAAGGAAACAGUGAAGCGCAAAAGGCGAAAUUGCUUCAUCGGAUCGAACAGGGCCAAGUUUCUCUUCCUCUUACUGGCGUCGGUGUCUAAUCUGUGGCUUAAAAGGUACGCUCGAAUACGUGGUGUGCUUUAGGAUCGGUGAUAUGUGUUGUUUUCCCGGGCUCGUCUUCCGCAUUGAUUUAGGGGUUCAAUUUAGUGUCGAAUCCGGUUUUCGGGGAUCCGUUAUUCCCAACGUAACUUUAAUUGUGAUUGAACCCAAGUGUGCACCUGGUAAAAGGGCGUUGUUCUGUGUAUGCACCCUCCUUGGUCUCUUCUGCAUCUUUCCCAGUCUCUUAGCACCCAUCAACAAUGCCAGAUCCUCUUCGAUUUCUUCCUUCGACAGUGCCACCGGAAGCUUCCUUAUCCUCUCUGGAAUCCUCUUCUUGCUCUUCGUUUCUUCGGCUGUGCCUCUCUCAUGAAUGCGAUGCCAUGACCGUGCGUCCUUUCCGGGUCUGAAAUCCCACGGCUCCUUUUCCUUCUCCUCGUCUUUUGUUGACACCCAAAUUUCAAUUAAGUUAUUCAUUAGGCCCUGUUUUCUUUUGUUUCUCCUUUUUUCAUAUAAUAAAUAAUAAAUAAAAGCAAACAAAAAAAACAAAAACAAAACAAAAGCAGAAAGAAAGCAAGAAAGCCCUCGCAUGGGCCCGCGAGGCCCAUUUCCGCUUCAGCCCAGCCCAGCCGGGUCUUCUUCUUCCUUGCGCAGUUGCAGUGCACGCGCAGAGGGCGCGACGCUAGAGCGGAGGGGAGGAGCAGCAGUGACACACGUGGAGCAGGGGGCGGCUGGUGUCGGAUAAGAACGUGGGAGGGCCAGCUGGCGUCGGAUAGGACGCCGGUUCGGCCGGCGGAGGCCGCUUGGCGCACGAGGACCGGCGGUCGAAGCUCCAUCGACUGGCUGCUCCCUCGCCUAUAAAUAGGCCCCCGUUUCCGUUGUCGAAGGGGCACGCCAGAAGAUUGCAAGCUUGGAAACUUCUUCCUGAGAGACUUCGGAGGAGGUUGAAGAGCGAGCGAGAGGAAGGCGAGCGAGAGAGAACUCGGGUCGCGAGUUCGGCUGACCUCACAAUGAGAGACUUCGGGGGAGGCUGCCGGUGAGCGAGUCCGAGGUGGUCAGAUCCGGCCGGUGGAGGCUCGGAUCUGGCCGAGGGGGAGAGAUCCGGAGUGGAAGAAGCCGAGGCCGUAGAAGGUCGAAGCUGGAGAGAGGAGGUUCCGGAGGACUAGAUCUGGGGAGCCGAAGCCUCGCCUUCGCCGAUGCUGCUGCUCCGCCACCGUUCCAACGCCGUUGCCACGACCGAUUCGCCCAAGCCGCACCAGAUCCGGAGGUGAGGAGCUGCUGUCGCUACCCCACCGUCGUAACCUGCACCUACAGCCCCUUGUCGCCGCCAUCGUUCACCGCCUUAUCGCGCCGUUGUUGCAAACAGGUAACAGUAGACGCCGCCACCGCCCCCAGACGCAUUGUCGCCGUUGCUCGAAACCCUGGCCGCCUCCCCUGUCUGUCGUCGUCAUCACCAUUGUCCCCUCCGCGAAACCCUAACCCCUGACCAAGGAGACCUGAUACAUCACCGUCGAAUGCCGCACCGCCGUCCGCCACGUCGCCGCCAUCGUCAGGCGUCGCGCCGCUGUCCGGUGACAUCCCCAGUCCCUCCACCCGCGCCGCAGACGGAUGGAGAAGCCAGCGACCUUGCGUUGGGUUGAGCAGGGUCGGGCACGGUUCGCGAAACCGGGUAGGGUUUCGCGAACCAGAGGCGGCCAAUCGUCGGGUCAGGCGUGGGUCUUGACCGGGUAGGGGUCCGGUCAGUCUGGGCCAAGCGGGUUUGGAUGCAGGUGGGCCGGUCUCACGCAGAUAGGAACUCCUUUUGUUCCUUGGGCUUCGAUUAAAAAUUUUGGGCUGGGUUAUGUUGUGCUAGAUUUUUAGCCGGGCCCGCGUUGCGGGCCCGUCCGGGUUUCGAAUAGACGACCCGGGUCGGUCCCAACCUGGGAACCCGAUCCGGGUCGUUUUUUAAAUAUAUUAAUAUAAUAAUAAAAAUUAAUAUUUUUAAAAAUAAUAAUAAAAAUUAAUUUAUUUUCGAAAAAUAUCAAAAAAAUAAAAAAUAAUUCAUAUUUUCCAAAAAAUGCCAAAAAUCCAAAAAAAGCCAAAAAUUCAUGAAAAAACCAAAAAAAUUCAGAAAAAGCAAAAAAAAACUUGUAUUUUUCCAAAAAAAAAUCCAAAAAAUCCCUUUUAUGUCCAAAAAAAUUAGAAAAAAACUCAAAAAAUAUUUUUCCUGCCAAAAAUGCAUGGAAAAUCUCUCGAACAUCCAAAAAACCUCAAGGUUUAAACAAGAUUAGGUACCAAAAGGGCAUGAGUGAUUAACUAGUGUAAUCAAGUCCCCGAUCCUAAUUUCUCUGGUUGCGCAGGAGUGAGUAUUUCUCCCGAUACUUCACUUGGGUUUCUAAUCAAUCCACCCCAAAUCGAUUAGUGGCGACUCCGUUUUAAAAUUAAUUUACAAGUUAAAAAUUUAGAUUAUUAAAGUCGUGAAUUGGUGGACUUGGGAGAGUCUGGGCAUAACAAAUUUCAGCCGAGCCAUUAGCCUCCUUAGGUGCCCGUACCCGAUCGCGGGCGCCGAAAAAAAGAGGUCGCGACAGCUUGGCGACUCCGCUGGGGAUCAUUUUUGAGGAGUUAGGUCAUUUUAUCUUUGUUUAAAUGUUUUGCUGACUUGGGUUUUUUUCUUUUGUGCAGGGUAAUAGCUUAAAGUUUUUUUAUUCUGUUAAAAUAAAAUGUUUUGUGGUUAUAAACUGCUGUGCAUCCUUAAAUGUUUUAGCACUACACAUGGCACACACAACC